ACGUUCAGCCAAUGUGAAUAUUGCGAACAUCCUUUUUCAUUCGUCUGGGCCCGCGUCCAAGGGCUACCCUCUCUUUCUCCAGAUUACGCAAUCAUCAGCCAGCAUACGCGAAACACGUUCGUAAACACACGCACGCGCAACCCACAUAUAUAACUAAAUGAAUAAGCACUCCGCUUCUGUCUACGUUAGUAGUAAUUAAUAAUGAAAUAAAUCGCAGGCUGCUGGAUUUAUCAAAUUAAUACACUCCGUUCUACAAAAUCGAGCAACUCUCUGAACUCCUAUAUUGUCAAACAAGAGAUUAAAACUGUUUCAAAAGAAGGAGAACGAAGCGGGGAAUGGUUCAGUAGUAUCGGAAUAAUUCUCCUUGAUGAAUAGAGAAAAGGAAGUUGGGAAGUACACGAGACGAUCAGGCAGAUGCCGCUGACCUACAUGUUGA